AGUCACUGACAUUAGAUACCCCUGUAGUCCAGGGUGUAAACGCUGCCGACUUGGUGUUGGAGGCCCUUCGGGGGCAUUCAGUGCCGGAGAGAAGUUGUUAAGUCGGCCACUUGGGGAGUACGUCCGCAAGGAUGAAACUUAAAGGAAUUGGCGGGGGAGCACCGCAACGGGAGGAGCGUGCGGUUUAAUUGGAUUCAACACCGGAAAACUCACCAAGGGCGACUGUUACAUGAAAGCCAGGCUAAUGACCUUGCUUGAUUUUUCAG
rnacentral:rRNA from 1 species